rnacentral:misc_RNA from 1 species
AAGGAUCAUUAACAAAUCGAAUGGUGGAGGGCGAGGGUGGUGGUGUGUGUGUGCGGAUUCAGAGCGGGAGGAGAGGGGCGGUAUCGCUGAUCUCGAUCAGGGGCUGCCUCAUUCAUCCUGUUCUUCUCUCCAUCGCACCGCUCCUUGCCCAACCCACACAUUAGGUCGGGACCCUCGGGUCCUGUAUCCAUUCACGCUUGAACUGUUUGACAUAUACACUGAUACAUUUUUGACGAGACAACUUUUAACAAUGGACCUCUUGGCUCUUGCAACGAUGAAGAACGCAGUAAAGUGCGAUAUGUAAUGCGAUUUGCAUGAAUCUGUGAGUCAUCUAGUCUUUGAACGCAACUUGCACCAGGCAACUGGUAUGUCUGUUUGAGUACAACAAAACCUAUGCCACCCAUGUGUGUAUGCAUGUGUGUGGCGACUUGACCGUUGAGCACAGCACGAGAGGGGGACGUUGGCGUGGUGGGGGUAGUGUGGUGCAGUCGAGAACUCUCGGCGGAUCCUUCUAUCCCUCGAUUCCACUCGGCUCCCUCUCGCACUCUUGGGUUUAAACGGAGCAGGAUACCGGUGCGAGGACGCCCGACAGUGUGCCAGAGACUACGUGUCUUGUCAUUGUCGCGGUGUCCCCUCAUCCAGCAAUCUCUACUGUUUUGUCUCAAAUCAGGCAAGAAGACCCGCUGAACUUAA